UGCUUAACACAUGCAAGUCGAGCGGAAAGGCCACUUCGGUGGUACUCGAGCGGCGAACGGGUGAGUAACACGUGAGUAAUCUGCCCCUGGCUUCGGGAUAGCCACCGGAAACGGUGAUUAAUACCGGAUAUGACAGACCCUCGCAUGGGGGUGUGUGGAAAGUUUUUCGGCCAGGGAUGUGCUCGCGGCCUAUCAGCUUGAUGGUGAGGUAAUGGCUCACCAUGGCUUCGACGGGUAGCCGGCCUGAGAGGGUGACCGGCCACACUGGGACUGAGACACGGCCCAGACUCCUACGGGAGGCAGCAGUGGGGAAUAUUGGACAAUGGGCGGAAGCCUGAUCCAGCAACGCCGCGUGAGGGAUGACGGCCUUCGGGUUGUAAACCUCUUUCAGUACCGACGAAGCGCAAGUGACGGUAGGUACAGAAGAAGCACCGGCCAACUACGUGCCAGCAGCCGCGGUAAUACGUAGGGUGCGAGCGUUGUCCGGAAUUAUUGGGCGUAAAGGGCUCGUAGGCGGUUUGUCGCGUCGGGAGUGAAAACGCCGUGCUUAACACGGCGCUUGCUUCCGAUACGGGCAGACUAGAGGUAUUCAGGGGAGAACGGAAUUCCUGGUGUAGCGGUGAAAUGCGCAGAUAUCAGGAGGAACACCGGUGGCGAAGGCGGGUCUCUGGGAAUGACCUGACGCUGAGGAGCGAAGUGUGGGGAGCGAACAGGAUUA
rnacentral:rRNA from 1 species